rnacentral:rRNA from 1 species
AUGCCUGGCAGUUCCCUACUCUCGCAUGGGGAGACCCCACACUACCAUCGGCGCUACGGCGUUUCACUUCUGAGUUCGGCAUGGGGUCAGGUGGGACCACCGCGCUAGUGCCGCCA